UGGGGAAUAUUGCACAAUGGGGGAAACCCUGAUGCAGCGACGCCGCGUGAGUGAAGAAGUAUUUCGGUAUGUAAAGCUCUAUCAGCAGGGAAGAAGUUGACGGUACCUGAGUAAGAAGCCCCGGCUAACUACGUGCCAGCAGCCGCGGUAAUACGUAGGGGGCAAGCGUUAUCCGGAUUUACUGGGUGUAAAGGGAGCGUAGACGGCAGUGCAAGUCUGAAGUGAAAGCCCCGGGCUUAACCCGGGAACUGCUUUGGAAACUGUACGGCUGGAGUGCUGGAGAGGUAAGCGGAAUUCCUAGUG
rnacentral:rRNA from 1 species